GAUGAACGCUGGCGGCGUGCCUAACACAUGCAAGUCGAGCGAAGCACACAUGCGGAGGCCUCCGGGCCAAAGGAUGUGUGACUGAGCGGCGGACGGGUGAGUAACGCGUGGGUAACCUGCCCUAUACAGGGGGAUAACAGCUAGAAAUGGCUGCUAAUACCGCAUGAGCGCACAGCUCCGCAUGGAGCGGUGUGAAAAACUCCGGUGGUAUAGGAUGGACCCGCGUCCGAUUAGCUAGUUGGUGGGGUAAAGGCCCACCAAGGCGACGAUCGGUAGCCGACCUGAGAGGGUGACCGGCCACAUUGGGACUGAGACACGGCCCAA
rnacentral:rRNA from 1 species